rnacentral:lncRNA from 1 species
CAGGUUCCGAAGUUUCUUGUCGAUCACCCCGAGAAUCUGCUUCAUGGCCUCGGUCUGGACAGCGCCGGUGCCGGUUGCGGGGUGCUGAGAAGCCGGCGCGGCGGCCCCGGCUCCCGCGGCCGCCUCACUCCCGGAGGAACCCGACGGCGGUGGCGGUCCGGACGACUUGCUGCCGCUCCCGCUGUGGCUGGUGGCCGAGGGCAUCGUGCGCGCGCGGAGGCCGCUGGAAAUCACGAGUGGGCAGCUGAGGGGGCAAGGGUGGUGGUCCCUUCCGGGCAGUGUCGCGCGCUCCGUGGGCGCAGGCCGCUUCGCCCUGUCCCGCUGCACCGAGAGCCGCUCCUAGUGAGGCGAGAGCCGGGAGCGGGAGGGACUUAGCCAGCCAGCAGCCCUCUGGGUCGCGAGGGGCGGGAGAAGCGGAGAGCGGGGGC